GCAUGCAUUACAGGGUGAGUCUUCCUUGGCAGUGUUCGCCUCCGGGAACCGGCGAUCAACCACUGGACACUGCCAAAGGAGAUUUGCCCAGCAAUGCAGUA
rnacentral:pre_miRNA from 1 species